CAACAGGAGAUUUUAAUCUCCACCAACAUGAGCAAAGACACCCAUG
rnacentral:sRNA from 1 species